UUCCUGUGAUUUUGUAAUUUCAAUUUCAAUGAAUAUACAAUAACUUCUUCAAACCCCAACAAUAUUUAAGUUAACCUUUAUUUACAAUGUUUAAACUGGUACUGUUGCCUUGUUCAUGUUCAUGUUUUUUUUUUGUACAUUAAAUUUGGGUCUUCGUCGAUACCAUACUUAUUCCAGACGUUCCGUAUCAGAGGACAUUUCAGGCAUUUCCUCUGCACUUCUUGUAUUAUUAUAACUUCAUCACAGUGACAAGAAUAACAGUACAGAGUACCAUUAAUUCAUAGAACAAAACAACAAAUCGCUGAAGUCAUGUUUACAAAAUGUCAAAACGAGCCAAAGACCAAAAAAUGACAAG
rnacentral:lncRNA from 1 species